rnacentral:rRNA from 1 species
AUGGACUCCAGUUUCAUUUGCUUGCCGGAAGAUAUUGAGUACAGACCUGUACCAUUGUCACGCUCUAUUCCUCAUGGUCACUAUGCUAGGGUGAUAGAUGACCUUGAUGUUCUAAAUCCAUUGCCACCACCACUAUACUUGAAUAUUCUGGCGCUUAGUUCCUUCAGAAGGGUUCCCUUUUAUGUUUCCGAACAAAUUCAAUGGGAAAUUGCUCCUGAUAUUGUCAAGAAAUUGCUGCCUCUCAGCAUGGGUGAUGAAAUCCUUCCAGCCAACUUAAUUGUCAUCUGCUAUAGCAUUGUUGGUGUUUUUGUUUGGUCUAAAUUUGCUACAGGAUUCAAACAAAAAGAGGCAUGUUUUGUUGAGCACUUCAUGACAAAGUGCAUCGAUUUGGGCAUUUCUCCUAGUGCCACUCUAGCACAUUUGCAGAUAUGGCAAGCUGGUUUUGUUUCUUUGUUUAGUUCCAACUUCCAAGGAGACAAUGGAUCAAUCGUGGGUUUCCUAUUGUCAAAGAGUUUUCUCUGUUUCAGCUUGGUGGCGAGACAAUUUGUACAGUGUAAAUGA